GUAUUAGCGUAAGCUAGCUCAUGUUCCGGCAGUCGAGACUGAGAGGUCGAUCGACCACAUUGGGUCUGAAAAAAGCCCACGGCAGAUAGUACAGCAGUGGGGUAUAUUGGUCAAUAGCCUAACGGCUGAACCAGCAACUUGGAAGAACGUAUAACGAAUAAGUCGUAUAAAGUUCUAGGUAGAACAAUGAUUAUGACAAUUUUCUAUCUAUAAGUCUUGACCAAAUUACGUGCCAGCAGUCGCGGUAACACGUAGAAGACUAGUGUUAUUCAUCUUUAUUAGGUUUAAAGGGUACCUAGACGGGAAAUUAAGCCAUAAUAGGUACUAAUUUUCUAGAGUUUUAUGUGAGAAGGGGCGAAUUUCCGGAGGAAAGUUGAUAUUUUGUGAUACUGGUAGGACGGGUAACGGCGAAGGCAACCUUCUAUGUAAAAACUGACGUUGAGGGACGAAGCCUUGGGUAACGAUAAGGAUUAGAUACCCUAGUAGUCCUUGGAGAAAAUUAUGAAUGUCAUAGGUUAGUACAAUAAUCAAUAUUUUAUUAAUGAAUCAAUAAAAUAGUUGGUUAAUAUAGUAAGAUUAUGUUAACCUUACUCUUCAGCAUAUAUUACAGGUAUAUAUACUGCUUAACAGGAAACAACUAUUGACAUUAUAUUGGCCUAUAAAUGAAAGUGCAAGCAUUCCACCUCAUGAGUAAAGCGGCAACGCCCAAAUUGAAAUCAUUAGACCGUUUCUGAAACCAGUAGUGAAGUAUGUUAUUUAAUUCGAUGAUCCGCGAAUAACCUUACCACAUUAUGCAUUGAAUAUUAUUCAAUUAAUACAAGCGCUGCAC
rnacentral:rRNA from 1 species